ACAUGCAAGUCGAGGGGCAGCGGGGACAUCGGAAGCUUGCUUUCUGACCGCCGGCGACCGGCGCACGGGUGAGUAACGCGUAUCGAACCUGCCCACUACUCGGGAAUAGCCUUGCGAAAGUAAGAUUAAUGCCCGAUGUUUUCAGCGGUCCGCAUGAACUGCUGAACAAAGAUUUAUCGGUAUGAGAUGGCGAUGCGUCCCAUUAGCUUGUUGGCGGGGUAACAGCCCACCAAGGCAUCGAUGGGUAGGGGUUCUGAGAGGAAGGUCCCCCACAUUGGAACUGAGACACGGUCCAAACUCCUACGGGAGGCAGCAGUGAGGAAUAUUGGUCAAUGGACGCAAGUCUGAACCAGCCAAGUAGCGUGCAGGAUGACGGCCCUCCGGGUUGUAAACUGCUUUUAGUUGGGAAUAAAGUGCAGCUCGUGAGCUGUUUUGUAUGUACCAUCAGAAAAAGGACCGGCUAAUUCCGUGCCAGCAGCCGCGGUAAUACGGAAGGUCCAGGCGUUAUCCGGAUUUAUUGGGUUUAAAGGGAGCGCAGGCCGGACUCUUAAGUCAGUUGUGAAAUACGGCGGCUCAACGUCUGGACUGCAGUUGAUACUGGGAGUCUUGAGUACGCACACAGUGGAUGCUGGAAUUCAUGGUGUAGCGGUGAAAUGCUCAGAUAUCAUGAAGAACUCCGAUCGCGAAGGCAGGUAUCCGGGGUGCAACUGACGCUGAGGCUCGAAAGUGCGGGUAUCAAACAGGAUUAGAUACCCUGGUAGUCCGCACAGUAAACGAUGAAUACUCGCGGUUGGCGAUACAAUGUCAGCCGCCAAGCGAAAGCGUUAAGUAUUCCACCUGGGGAGUACGCCGGCAACGGUGAAACUCAAAGGAAUUGACGGGGGCCCGCACAAGCGGAGGAACAUGUGGUUUAAUUCGAUGAUACGCGAGGAACCUUACCCGGGCUUGAACUGAGGGGGAAUGAGCCAGAGAUGACUCAGUCUUCGGACUCCCUUGGAGGUGCUGCAUGGUUGUCGUCAGCUCGUGCCGUGAGGUGUCG
rnacentral:rRNA from 1 species